UCAGAUCUGUGCUUUGUAAAGAUCUGUCUGUCUGCUGACUGUCCUGGCCUGGAAUCGAGGAAGCUGCUGCGGUGAAGCAGAGGAUUUGAGAGUCAGGAAAUGUGGAUGCAAAUCCCAUUUCUGACUCUGGCUAGCUGCGUGACAAGUUAGUCCAUCUCUGUGCCUUUGUUUCUUCACGUGUAAUUUGAAGACGAGAAUGCUGGCCUCCUGGGCCUCCGUGAGGAUGAAAUGAAGUGGUCUGUGUGAAAGCGCCCCGAGGCUGAGCCCGCACCGCCUGCUGCCCAGGACGGGGACUGCCGUGCCUUUGCCUGCUUUCCUCUGUAACCUCAGUUGCCGCCUCCAGUUGCACCAGCUGGCCUUGAACUUGCAACACACUGAGGCCAACGGGCUGGAACUGAUAAAACGUGGCACCUUCACAUACUCCACAACUUGUCUGUUCAACAGGUACUAUGUGUUGCAGGGGCUGAGGAGGAGUUUAGCACACAUCUCUGUCCUCCAGGAGCUGAAUGCUUAGUCGGGUAAAUUUGUAAAUAGGCACAAGUUAAACGGGGAGUAGAUACAAUAGUUUUUCAAGGCAGUUCAUGAUUGACUGUCAGUUACCUGACGGAGUGCGUCUUGUCUGUUUCAGGGGUUGAGGGAGGAGCUUACUGCGGGCUGGUGUAAUCAGGGAGGCUCUGUGGGAAAAGUUGGAAUUAAGCUGGGCUUUGAAGGAUAGGAAGGGCCUGAGAAAGUUGGAAGGGUGGAGGCACUGCCAGGUAGAGGAUGGCAGAAAAACACAGAAAUAUUCAAAGGGCAGCGGAUGAGCGCUGGUGGCUCUCAGAGGGUGUCACACCUGAAGGAUGAACUUCAGGCAUGUCCCAGUGAAGACUGGGAACAGGUCAGGGAUGCCUGUUCUCAAUGCCAUGCUUGACAUACUGGAAUUCCUGGCUAAGGAAAUAAAUAUGUACAAGCAUUAAAAGAGAUAGGACGGGCAUUAUUUGUAGACAAUGGGAUUAGCUACAUAGAAAACCCAACAAAAAUCAACCAAUAAACUCUAGAAAUAAUAGGAUGAGUUGAGCAGUGCUGCUAGUUACAAGGUCAGCUUACAAAAAUUAAAAAUGUUUUUCUACAUCAGUGACAAUCAAUUAGAAAAUAAAUAGAAAAAUAAAAUUACCAUCCCUAAGAGUGAUAAAGACAGUGGAGUAGUUGCGAUAUAACAAGAUAGUCAUACAAUCUCUUUGGAAGAUUAUGUAAAACUCUACUGUUAAAAAAAUAACAAGAAAAUCUAAGUAAAAUCAUAUCAUAUUCAGAAAUAAUUUGACCUAAUGUUUAAAGAUAUCAGUUCCCUCUAAAUUAAUUUAUAAGCACAAUGCAAACCCAAUAAAAAUUCCAGCUGAGUUUCUUUUGAGGGACUGGAUAAAAUCAAUCUAAUAUUUAUACAAAAGAAUAAAGGCUAAUUAAAGUAAAGUCAGUUGUGACAAGGAAAUCACAGAGGAUGUGUGAGGAUUUGAGAGCCAUGGUAAUAAAAAAGUCGGGUAUCUGUGCAGGUGCAAGUGAACGGACCACUGGAACAGAGGAGGGAGCUCAAAACAGGCCCUUUAAUAUAAGGGAGACUUGGUAUUUGAUGAAGGUGGCAAAAAGCAAAGGGCUAUUUAUCCAGCUGGUGAGAUGAGUAAAAAUAGAGUCACUAUAUGGGAAACAUAGAGCUGGAUUCCAGCUUGUACCAUAUGCCGUGGGAGACCUCGAUGAAUGCAAGUGCUAGACAUGAAAGAUGAGAGUGUAAAGCAUACAGAAGACUAUGUCAGGGAAUAUCCUUGCAACCUACGUGGGGGGGGGGGAAGGCUUCUUAAGAAAACCUUAAAAAUCAAAACCACAAGGUAAAAAACAUUGACAUGAUCACAUCAAAAUUAAGAAUUCCAGUUCGAUGAAAGACUAUGGAGAAAAAGUUAACAGACACUUGAUAGCCUGGGAAAAGCUUAAUAUCUACAACACGUAAGGAGUUCCUACAGAACAACAAGUGAAAGACAGGAAGCCUGGUGCGAUGUUAGGCAAAGUCUGCACGGACGGUCCCCCCAUGGGAAAGGCCAGCAGCUAACAUGUGCGUAAGGAGAGGAAGCUCUCGUCAGUCCCGAGAAGAUGCAGACCAGAGCCAUGAGGCAGCUUUCUACCAUCAGAAUGGCAAGGAUUAGAAAGUGGGUGCUGCCAACUAUGGGUGGAGAGUUGAGAGGACGGGGACCCUGGUGUACUGGAGGUGGGGUGAGGGCCGGUGCAGGUGUUCCGGAAAGCAAUGUAGCACUCUGCAGUGGAUUUAGGCAUGUGUAAACUCUGUAUGACCCAGCAACCCCACUCCUGAGAGGAGUCCAGCCCCAUAUCUGAGAGCAGUUCUCAUGCAAGGACAAGACGAUUCAUGGUGGCAUUAUCUGCAGCGGAAGGAAGUGGGAAGCAGCCGAGGUGGCACACAAGAUGAUAAAGGUGUAUUAUGGAAGUUGAAAGCAAGAAGUUGAUGUACCUACAGACCACAUAGUGUUGAAUUAAACAAUGUCAAAACCAUACUGUUUACAUAAAUAAAACAGACGCCCCACGAAAGCACUGCUGCUUAUUUUACAUGGAUGAGUACGUGUCUGGGGAUGAUGUCACAUGCACUACAGUGGAUGCCUUUGGUGCGGACAAUGAGAGGAUGGAUGAGAAAUGGGGGAAACAGAUCAAUAAAACAGAGAAAGGGCUUCAGUGUGCUGAUGAGGACAAGGUUCCAAGAACUGGAGAGGGUGAAGGACUCAGCUCUCUGCCCAGGAAGUCCAAAAGAAAAACCAGAAAUAAAGCAAAGAAAGUGGGAAGGACCUAGGAGAUGAGUUAGAGAGCUUCCUUGGGGCCAGCUGGAGGACUGGGCUGAGGAGCCUUCAGACAUCUGCUGCUGAGCCGUGGAUGCCUGGAUAGAUGUGUCUCGGAAGCAGACUUUUAGGGAGCUGAAACUGUCAAGGCAAAGGAUGGGAGGAGGAAAGCCUGCCUUCUGAGUUGUUGGAACUGAAACUCUCGAGGAUACUGCGUCCCACUGCACCCUCCAGGCAGCUAACUGCCUCCCAGUCUCAUGGACCAGGUUGGACAGCCCUGGAAGUGGCCCUUAGGUAGAGCCCAGAGCUGAGUCCCCUGUCACUUCAGCCCACUGGUGUCCUCACCUCUUUCAGCAUCCCCCGGCAUCAGCCCUAUCCUCCUUACUAAGUGCAUGAGGGUACAGCUGCCUGACACGUCCCCUCCCCUCUCCCCCAGCAAGACAGACACCAAACCUCCUCUUCUUCAGGACUCCUCCCAGGGCUGGCUCUCAGGAUCCAGGAGUCUCUGAUACCCAGGCAGGUGCUGUCUUGGCCAGCACCGGAAGCAGCAAGGGGGCUGAGACUGGGGACCCUUCCUCCCAUGUGGUCUGAGUAGCAGAGAACAAGGGUGGUCACCGCUCUGGACACCUGUGUCUGUGGAUGCUGCCUGAGCAUCCAGGAGCUCCUUGAGACAGAAAAAUGAGCUGUCUGCUGACCACUGCCCAACUCACAGAUUCACAAGUAAAACAAAUGUUGGUUCUUAAACCUGGUAAUUUUGGGGUGGUUUAUUACACAGCCGUAGUUACUGGAACAGACAUCUUGACUGGAUUCCAUAAUCUGCAACCACUCUUGAUUAUUAAAAUCACCUUAUUCUUAUGGUAGCUCACAGAGAAAGGAAUGUGACAAUGAAUAUAUAUAUAUGUUCAUGUAUAAUUAAAAAAUUGUGCUCUACACUGGAAUUUGACACAACAUUGUAAAAUG